CUCCUCCUCCUCCUCCUCCUCCUCCUCCUCCAACACCUUCAUCAUUGUGCCACAACAUCCUUUGGGGAAGAUGUGAUGAGAGGAUACAACACAACCUGGUUAUUUCCAUUCAAAGGGGCUCCAGGGACGGUUGACAGAGUUCCAGACGAGGCCUCCAGAGAUCAUGGUCAACCUACCCCCAGCUGCAGCACCACAGUGGAGGAGAAAGGCAAAGGAGAGGGACAACGACGGCUAGCCCCACUCUCCCAUCUCCCAAGGCGAGGUCUCCGACACCUGGAGAAGUUCACGGAGAGCCUGGCUCAGAUGGAGAAAAGGAACCUGCAGCUGCAGCAGGAAAACAUGGUGCUGCAGCAGAGAGUCAUGGAGCUGGAGACCCAAGUCUCCAGCCUUCACCGGGCAAGGAACACGCAAUCCCUCUGGGGAAGAUUGAAGAGGCAGUAUAGAAUGAGAAGGGGGUCUGUAAGGCCUCAAGAAACCAUCCAAAUCACAGUGACCAGUAACACCAGUAGGGACACCACAUCCCAAAGGCGGCACUGAUGGUAAGUACUGUUCUGACCAAGGCUUAUUGAGACACUAACAAAGACACGUUAGUCCCAAAACCGUUUUUUCUUUAUUUCAACGGCUGUGAAUUU
rnacentral:lncRNA from 1 species